rnacentral:lncRNA from 1 species
AUAUCGUUUGAUAUAAUGAUAUUGGUAUUAUUUAAAACAAACGACGAUAUUUUAGAAGGAUAUGUACGACCACAUGACAAACCUCAAAUACACAUUCGAACGCUUUUGUUUCUUAUGCAGAGGAUGAUCGUCUGUUCGUUUUCAAUGAUUUAAUUGAGGGUCUCGAAAAUGACAAAGGAAAGAAGCUUUGUAUUCAUCACCGCAUUUUAUCCCAGGGUUGUGAUAUUUCUGACCACAUACAAAUGCAAUUUCACGAGAGCGAAAAAUAGUUUGUCUCAUCACAAGAAUUUCUUGAAUCUGAAUGGUG